rnacentral:rRNA from 1 species
GGGGAAUUUUCCGCAAUGGGCGAAAGCCUGACGGAGCAACGCCGCGUGAGGGAUGAAGGCCUCUGGGCUGUAAACCUCUUUUCUCAAGGAAGAAGACCUGACGGUACUUGAGGAAUAAGCCACGGCUAAUUCCGUGCCAGCAGCCGCGGUAAUACGGGAGUGGCAAGCGUUAUCCGGAAUUAUUGGGCGUAAAGCGUCCGCAGGCGGCCUUGUAAGUCUGUUGUUAAAGCGUGGAGCUCAACUCCAUUUGAGCAAUGGAAACUACAAGGCUUGAGUGUGGUAGGGGCAGAGGGAAUUCCCGGUGUAGCGGUGAAAUGCGUAGAUAUCGGGAAGAACACCAGUGGCGAAGGCACUCUGCUGGGCCAUAACUGACGCUCAUGGACGAAAGCCAGGGGAGCGAAAGGGAUUAGAUAC